rnacentral:rRNA from 1 species
AUUGAACGCUGGCGGCAUGCUUUACACAUGCAAGUCGAACGGUAACAGGCCGCAAGGUGCUGACGAGUGGCGAACGGGUGAGUAAUGCAUCGGAACGUGCCCAGUCGUGGGGGAUAACUGCUCGAAAGAGUGGCUAAUACCGCAUGAGAUCUACGGAUGAAAGCAGGGGAUCGCAAGACCUUGUGCUACUAGAGCGGCCGAUGGCAGAUUAGGUAGUUGGUGGGAUAAAAGCUUACCAAGCCGACGAUCUGUAGCUGGUCUGAGAGGAGGAUCAGCCACACUGGGACCGAGACACGGCCCAGACUCCUACGGGAGGCAGCAGUGGGGAAUUUUGGACAAUGGGCGCAAGCCUGAUCCAGCAAUGCCGCGUGCAGGAUGAAGGCCUUCGGGUUGUAAACUGCUUUUGUACGGAACGAAAAGCCCUGGGUUAAUACCCUGGGGUCAUGACGGUACCGUAAGAAUAAGCACCGGCUAACUACGUGCCAGCCGCCGCGGUAACAC